GGAACACUUUUCAGAGCAGUAAUUGCCUAAAUCGUUGGCUCACUUUGCAUCGGUAUGCGAUGCCCAUACCGAUACAAACUAAGCUGCAUGCUUCAGUGCGGCAUACAGAUAAGGCGCUGCGUUCCUAGAGGAGAGCACUGCCGUGAUGCGUGGAGAUCAUUGUGUCCUAAGCCUCUCUAUAAACUGUCGUGCAUUAGAACUCGAGCACCUACUACCUGCGACUGCCAAUGCACUAAACAGAAAAGAUGAUUCGCCAAUUCGUGUUGGUGUGACCUACAGAGGACGUUAUGCAGAUAUCAACUGGCUACAGUGACAUUCGUCCUAAUUGUGAUCCCUGCUGAAGAGCUAGAAACGCUUGAAGCUCUGCUUUUCUGUAAAUAAAC